GAUGAACGCUGGCGGCGUGCCUAAUACAUGCAAGUCGAGCGAACGGAUAAGGAGCUUGCUCCUUUGGCGUUAGCGGCGGACGGGUGAGUAACACGUGGGUAACCUACCUAUAAGACUGGAAUAACUCCGGGAAACCGGGGCUAAUGCCGGAUAACAUUUAGAACCGCAUGGUUCUAAAGUGAAAGAUGGUUUUGCUAUCACUUAUAGAUGGACCCGCGCCGUAUUAGCUAGUUGGUAAGGUAACGGCUUACCAAGGCAACGAUACGUAGCCGACCUGAGAGGGUGAUCGGCCACACUGGAACUGAGACACGGUCCAGACUCCUACGGGAGGCAGCAGUAGGGAAUCUUCCGCAAUGGGCGAAAGCCUGACGGAGCAACGCCGCGUGAGUGAUGAAGGUCUUCGGAUCGUAAAACUCUGUUAUUAGGGAAGAACAAAUGUGUAAGUAACUGUGCACGUCUUGACGGUACCUAAUCAGAAAGCCACGGCUAACUACGUG
rnacentral:rRNA from 1 species